UCCUCAGCAUCGGUGAGAAGGGGCGGC
rnacentral:piRNA from 1 species